rnacentral:rRNA from 1 species
UACGAAGGGGGCUAGCGUUGCUCGGAAUCACUGGGCGUAAAGGGUGCGUAGGCGGGUCUUAAGUCGGGGGUGAAAUCCUGAGGCUCAACCUCAGAACUGCCUUCGAUACUGGCAAUCUCGAGUCCGGAAGAGGUUGGUGGAACAGCUAGUGUAGAGGUGAAAUUCGUAGAUAUUAGCUAGAACACCAGUGGCGAAGGCGGCCAACUGGUCCGGUACUGACGCUGAGGUGCGAAAGCGUGGGGAGCAAACAGG